CCUACGGGGUGCAGCAGUGGGGAAUAUUGCACAAUGGGCGCAAGCCUGAUGCAGCAACGCCGUGUGAGUGAAGAAGGCCUUCGGGUCGUAAAACUCUGUCCUAUGGGAAGAAAAAAAUGACGGUACCAUAGGAGGAAGCCCCGGCUAACUACGUGCCAGCAGCCGCGGUAAUACGUAGGGGGCAAGCGUUAUCCGGAAUCACUGGGCGUAAAGGGUGCGUAGGCGGCUAAGCAAGCCAGGGGUGAAAGGCAUUGGCUCAACCAAUGUAAGCCUUUGGAACUGUUUGGCUUGAGUGCAGGAGAGGUAAGUGGAAUUCCUAGUGUAGAGGUGAAAUUCGUAGAUAUUAGGAGGAACACCAGUGGCGAAGGCGACUUACUGGACUGUAACUGACGCUGAGGCACGAAAGCGUGGGUAGCGAACAGGAUUAGAUACCCCCGUAGUC
rnacentral:rRNA from 1 species